rnacentral:rRNA from 1 species
CUUUAAGUGAACUGCGCAAGAAGAAUGAUCUUCUUGCGAUUCAGCCUUGCGACCGUACUCCCCAGGCGGCGAGCUUAACGGCUUCCCUGCGACACUUCGAUCGCGAACUGCGAUCGAAUCAUCUAGCUCGCAUCGUUUACGGCUGGGACUACCCGGGUAUUUAGUGCGCAGGCCUUUGCCUGCUGCAUAUCUAAUCCGGUUCGCUCCCCCAGCUUUCACCCCUCACCGUCGAGCGCGUUCUGGCGGACCGCCUUCGCCACUGGUGGUCUUUCGCGGAUCAAAGGAUUUUACCCCUACACGCGGAGUACCGUCCGCCUCUCCCGCCUCCUAGUCCCACAGUAUCCUCUGCAGACCAGCCGUUGAGCGACUGGACUUAACAGAGGACUUACGGAACCGGCUACGGGUGCUUUAGGCCCAAUAAUCGUCCCGACCACUCGAGGAGCUGGUAUUACCGCGGCGGCUGACACCAGACUUGCCCUCCCCUUAUUCCCC